UACGUAGGGUGCAAGCGUUGUCCGGAAUUAUUGGGCGUAAAGAGCUCGUAGGCGGUCUGUCACGUCGGCUGUGAAAACCCGAGGCUCAACCUCGGGCCUGCAGUCGAUACGGGCAAACUAGAGUACUGCAGGGGAGACUGGAAUUCCUGGUGUAGCGGUGAAAUGCGCAGAUAUCAGGAGGAACACCGAUGGCGAAGGCAGGUCACUGGGCCGCAACUGACGCUGAGGAGCGAAAGCAUGGGGAGCGAACAGG
rnacentral:rRNA from 1 species